GAUGAACGCUGGCGGCGUGCCUAAUACAUGCAAGUCGAGCGAAUGGAUUGAGAGCUUGCUCUUAUGAAGUUAGCGGCGGACGGGUGAGUAACACGUGGGUAACCUGCCCAUAAGACUGGGAUAACUCCGGGAAACCGGGGCUAAUACCGGAUAACAUUUUGAACCGCAUGGUUCGAAAUUGAAAGGCGGCUUCGGCUGUCACUUAUGGAUGGACCCGCGUCGCAUUAGCUAGUUGGUGAGGUAACGGCUCACCAAGGACACGAUGCGUAGCCGACCGGGGAUGGGGAUCGGCCAGACUGGGACUGAGACACGGCCCAGACUCCUACGGGAGGCAGCAGUAGGGAAUCUUCCGCAAUGGACGAAAGUCUGACGGAGCAACGCCGCGUGAGUGAUGAAGGCUUUCGGGUCGUAAAACUCUGUUGUUAGGGAAGAACAAGUGCUAGUUGAAUAAGCUGGCACCUUGACGGUACCUAACCAGAAAGCCACGGCUAACUACGUGCCAGCCGCCGCAGUAA
rnacentral:rRNA from 1 species